rnacentral:rRNA from 1 species
GACGAACGCUGGCGGCGUGCCUAACACAUGCAAGUCAACUUGACUGAAGGAGCAAUCUGACAGUAGAGUGGCGCAAGGGUGCGUAACGCGUAAGUAACUUGCCCCAAGGUAAGGAAUAACGUCGAGAAAUCGGCGCUAAUACCUCAUAAUGCAGCGGAUCCGCAUGGAUAUGUUGUUAAAGGUUUACCGCCUUGGGAUAGGCUUGCGUCUGAUUAGCUAGUUGGUGUGGUAACGGCACACCAAGGCUACGAUCAGUAACUGGUCUGAGAGGAUGAUCAGUCACACUGGAACUGAGACACGGUCCAGACUCCUACGGGAGGCAGCAGUGAGGAAUAUUGGGCAAUGCUCGAAAGAGUGACCCAGCAACGCCGCGUGGAGGAUGGAGGUAUUCUAUAUCGUAAACUCCUGUGAGAGCAGACGAAAGACAGAUUAUAAUCUGGAUGACUGUAUGCUCAGAGGAAGCCCCGGCUAACUACG